rfam:Oryza sativa Japonica Group DNA, chromosome 7, cultivar: Nipponbare, complete sequence.
UUUAAUUGCAACCAUGAGUUUCCGUGCUCAACUUUGAUCAUCCGUCUUAUUUGAAUUUUUUUUUAUAAUUAGUAUUUUUAUUUUUAUAAGAUUAUAAAACAUGAAUAAUACUUUAUGUGUGACUUGUGUUCUCAAAUUUUUACAAAAAAAUUUAAAUAAGACGGACGGUCAAAAUUGGGCACGGAAAAUUAUGGCUGCACUUAUA